AUUGAACGCUGGCGGCAGGCCUAACACAUGCAAGUCGAACGAGUGGCGGACGGGUGAGUAAUGUCUGGGAAACUGCCUGAUGGAGGGGGAUCACUUCUGGAAACGGUCGAUAAUACCACAUCACAUCAUGUGUGCACAUAGGGGAUUCGCUUGUUGGUGGGGUAACGGCGCACCAAGGCCACGAUCCCUAGCUGGUCUGAGAGGAUGACCAGCCACACUGGAACUGAGACACGGUCCAGACUCCUACGGUAGGCAGCAGUGGGGAAUAUUGCACAAUGGGCGCAAGCCUGAUGCAGCCAUGCCGCGUGUAUGAAGAAGGCCUUCGGGUUGUAAAGUACUUUCAGCGGGGAGGCGUUACCCGCAGAAGAAGCACCGGCUAACUCCGUGCCAGCAGCCGCGGUAAUAC
rnacentral:rRNA from 1 species